GACGAACGCUGGCGGCGUGCUUAACACAUGCAAGUCGAACGAAGUGGCGAACGGGUGAGUAACGCGUAAUCAACCUGCCCUUCAGAGGGGGACAACAGUUGGAAACGACUGCUAAUACCGCAUACUGAAGGUGGGGAUUGCGUCUGAUUAGCUAGUUGGAGGGGUAACGGCCCACCAAGGGGAUGAUCAGUAGCCGGGCUUGGAGGAUGAACUGACACAGUGGGAAUGGGACACGGCCCAGACGCCUACGGGAGGCAGCAGGGGGGAAUCUUCCGCAAUGGACGAAAGUCUGACGAAGCAACGCCGCGUGAGGGAUGACGGCCUUCGGGUUGGAAAGCUCUGUUAAUCGGGACGCGGUACCGGAAUAGAAAGCCACGGCUAACUACGUGCCAGCAGCCGCGGUAAUAC
rnacentral:rRNA from 1 species